rnacentral:rRNA from 1 species
CACGUAGUUAGCCGGUGCUUAUUCUUCAGGUACCGUCAUCAGCUGUCGAUAUUAGCAACAGCCUUUUCUUCCCUGACAAAAGUCCUUUACAACCCGAAGGCCUUCUUCAGACACGCGGCAUGGCUGGAUCAGGCUUGCGCCCAUUGUCCAAAAUUCCCCACUGCUGCCUCCCGUAGGAGUCUGGGCCGUGUCUCAGUCCCAGUGUGGCGGAUCAUCCUCUCAGACCCGCUACUGAUCGUCGCCUUGGUAGGCCUUUACCCCACCAACUAGCUAAUCAGAUAUCGGCCGCUCGAAUAACGCAAGGCCCGAAGGUCCCCUGCUUUCCUCCUCAGAGAAUAUGCGGUAUUAGCUAAUCUUUCGAUUAGUUAUCCCCCAUUACUCGGUACGUUCCGAUAUAUUACUCACCCGUUUCGCCACUCGCCACCCAAGAAGCAAGCUUCUCUGUGCUGCCGUCCGACUUGCAUGUGUAAAGCAUGCCGCCAGCGUUCAAU